CUAAAAGUGACUAAAGUGAAGAAUUAGAAGAACAGAGGAAACACAGCCUAAAAACAAGAUAAGACAAACAAGAUUGUGAAGUCUAAAAGUGACUAAAGUGAAGAAUUAGAAGAACAGAGGAAACACAGCCUAAAAACAAGAUAAGACAAACAAGAAUCAUACAAAGAUCUUGCGAACUGGACUACAGCAAAAAACAUCAUCAAAUUUCCCUCGGAAGAUGAUGGCUAGUAGUUUGUUAAAGGAAUGUCUUGCAUAUCUGAAAAAGAGUAAUGUUUUCAUCCAAUUUCCGUUGAAUGCUUUACUGUAUGGGUUGGAGGAGUUGGCUGAAAUCAGGUUUUCAUGUCCGUGCAAUGUUAAGAUGAAUUAUCGUUUUAUACUGGCAAUGUUCAUUGGACCUCCUUUUUUUAUUUUAGCUUUAAUGUUCUUAUUUUUUAGGCCUUUUAAACUUGGGUAUUUUCAUUGUCCUAAGAAAGCAAAUGCUGAAACUGAGGAAAAAACUCAGCAGAGCUGGCCUAAAUCUUUUGUAAAUUGUCUGAUUCCACCUGUAAUGUGGAUCAUCAUCUUGUUUCUUGAUGGAGAUUACUUGGUUUGUGGUUAUACAGACUGGAAUGGACAUUAUGUUUUUGAUGCAGAGCUCAACAGGUCUUGGUGUAAACCUACUAAGGGGAUGCAAAAUGAGACAGAGCUACGAGAUUUGAUUACCCACCAUCGUCACUAUUCUCUGUAUAUAGGUCACAUCUUGACUGGUGUCCUCGGUGCUUUGCUGGUUUUCACAGUGGGUGGUUUUGACUGCUGUAUAACUAGAAAAUGUGACAGGUGCCCAAAUGGCAUAUUAAUAAUGUGUGGCCAAACAGAUCCAGAGCAGGAGAGUCAGAUGCAGAGUAGUAACGAAACAGAGAAUCUAAGCGCCGUGGGUAGGUCUACGAACCAGAUCUCAAUGGGGGUCCCAGGCUCUGACAGAGCCCACAGGGACAAAAUCCCUGGCGACGUCCCUGAUCCUGAGACGGGAAACAGACAAGAUGUAGGACUGACUGAACCAACAGGUGAAACACAGACCGAACCAAGAGAGACUGAGACGUUUCUAUAGAAAAUUAUUUUUAU